GUGGGGAAUUUUGGACAAUGGGCGAAAGCCUGAUCCAGCCAUGCCGCGUGAGUGAAGAAGGCCUUCGGGUUGUAAAGCUCUUUCAGACGGAAAGAAAUUGCUCUGGAUAAUACCCGGAGUAGAUGACGGUACCGUAAGAAGAAGCACCGGCUAACUACGUGCCAGCAGCCGCGGUAAUACGUAGGGUGCGAGCGUUAAUCGGAAUUACUGGGCGUAAAGCGUGCGCAGGCGGUUAUAUAAGACAGAUGUGAAAUCCCCGGGCUUAACCUGGGAACUGCGUUUGUGACUGUAUAACUAGAGUACGGUAGAGGGGGGUGGAAUUCCUGGUGUAGCAGUGAAAUGCGUAGAUAUCAGGAGGAACAUCGAUGGCGAAGGCAGCCCCCUGGACCUGUACUGACGCUCAUGCACGAAAGCGUGGGGAGCAAACAGGAUUAGAAACCCUUGUAGUCC
rnacentral:rRNA from 1 species